rnacentral:rRNA from 1 species
CGGUAACAGGAAGAAGCUUGCUUCUUUGCUGACGAGUGGCGGACGGGUGAGUAAUGUCUGGGAAACUGCCUGAUGGAGGGGGAUAACUACUGGAAACGGUAGCUAAUACCGCAUAACGUCGCAAGACCAAAGAGGGGGACCUUCGGGCCUCUUGCCAUCGGAUGUGCCCAGAUGGGAUUAGCUAGUAGGUGGGGUAACGGCUCACCUAGGCGACGAUCCCUAGCUGGUCUGAGAGGAUGACCAGCCACACUGGAACUGAGACACGGUCCAGACUCCUACGGGAGGCAGCAGUGGGGAAUAUUGCACAAUGGGCGCAAGCCUGAUGCAGCCAUGCCGCGUGUAUGAAGAAGGCCUUCGGGUUGUAAAGUACUUUCAGCGGGGAGGAAGGGAGUAAAGUUAAUACCUUUGCUCAUUGACGUUACCCGCAGAAGAAGCACCGGCUAACUCCGUGCCAGCAGCCGCGGUAAUACGGAGGGUGCAAGCGUUAAUCGGAAUUACUGGGCGUAAAGCGCACGCAGGCGGUUUGUUAAGUCAGAUGUGAAAUCCCCGGGCUCAACCUGGGAACUGCAUCUGAUACUGGCAAGCUUGAGUCUCGUAGAGGGGGGUAGAAUUCCAGGUGUAGCGGUGAAAUGCGUAGAGAUCUGGAGGAAUACCGGUGGCGAAGGCGGCCCCUGGACGAAGACUGACGCUCAGGUGC